UGGCUCAGGAUGAACGCUGGCGGCGUGCCUAACACAUGCAAGUCGAACGGUCGCAAGACAGUGGCGCACGGGUGAGGAACACGUAGCUAACCUGCCCUCAAGACCGGGAUAACGGAUCGAAAGGUCUGCUAAUACCGGAUAAGCUCACGUGAAGUAGAAGCAAGUGAGAAAAGGGAUACCGCUUGAGGAGGGGGCUGCGGCCUAUCAGGUAGUUGGUGAGGUAAUGGCUCACCAAGCCGACGACGGGUAGGGGGCCUGAGAGGGUGACCCCCCACACUGGGACUGAGACACGGCCCAGACUCCUACGGGAGGCAGCAGUGAGGGAUAUUGCACAAUGGGCGCAAGCCUGAUGCAGCGACGCCGCGUGAGUGAAGAAGGG
rnacentral:rRNA from 1 species